AGCGAACGCUGGCGGCAGGCCUAACACAUGCAAGUCGAACGAAGUCUUCGGACUUAGUGGCGGACGGGUGAGUAACACGUGGGAACGUACCUUUUGGUUCGGAACAACUCAGGGAAACUUGAGCUAAUACCGGAUGAGCCCUUAGGGGGAAAGAUUUAUCGCCGAAAGAGCGGCCCGCGUUAGAUUAGCUAGUUGGUGAGGUAAAGGCGCACCAAGGCUACGAUCUAUAGCUGGUCUGAGAGGAUGAUCAGCCACACUGGGACUGAGACACGGGCCAGAGUCCAACGGGAGGCAGCAGUGGGGAAUCUUGCACAAUGGGCGAACGCCUGACGCAGCCGUGCCGGGUGAAUGAUGAAGGUCUUAGGAUUGUAAAAUUCUUUUACCAGGGACGAUAAUGACGGUACCUAGAGAAAAAGCCCCGGCUAACUUCGUGCCAGCCGCCGCCGUAAUAC
rnacentral:rRNA from 1 species